GUACCCUGGAGGAUGCAGGUCGGUGUGCCAGGACACCACCAAGGGCAAGAGACACACAGGAAAGAAAGCUGGCCUUCCCAUCCAGCCAGAGAGCAGAAGUAACUCGUUACAACGAACGCCAUCCGUGGCACAGAACAAGGGAAGAAACCGUUACAGAGUUACUUGCCAGCCUCGGAUGCGGCCCAAAGGAGAAGCGACAACGGGGCAAUAACGCGUUUCGCCACAAACCGCUCGCGCAGCGGGAGCGACGGAAGGGAAGCGAGCCACCCCGUAGCGAGUAACGAGAAACGCGCCGCGUUCCUUUUAAAACGCCGCCACCGUUCCAAGCGCUGAGGCCCCGCCCUCAGGCAGCCGCAGGGACGGAGGCGGCGGCCGUCCUCCGGCUGGGGAGGGGGGGCGAUCCACCCUCCCCAGGGGCUGCCGGGCGGCGUCCCCUCCGCGGGCCUUCUGCCUUGGAAUUGGAGGGGGG